rnacentral:rRNA from 1 species
UUCUGGCUCAGGAUGAACGCUAGCGGCAGGCUAACACAUGCAAGUCGAGGGGCAGCGGGUGUAGCAAUACAUGCCGGCGACCGGCGCAAGGGUGCGUAACGCGUGAGCAACAUGCCCGUCACAGGGGGAUAAUCCAUGGAAACCGUGGUCUAACACCGCAUAAAUUAUAGGAAGGACAUCCUUUUUAUAAGAAAUUCGCAAGAAGGUGACGGAUUGGCUCGCGUAACAUUAGCCAGUUGGUAGGGUAACGGCCUACCAAAGGCGACGAUGUUUAGGGGUCCUGAGAGGGAGGUCCCCCACACUGGAACUGAGACACGGUCCAGACUCCUACGGGAGGCAGCAGUGAGGAAUAUUGGACAAUGGAUGGAAAUCUGAUCCAGCCAUGCCGCGUGCGGGAUGAACCGGCCCUAUGGGUUGUAAACCGCUUUUGCAGUGGAGCAAUAAGGUGUACGCGUACACCGAUGAGAGUACUCUGCGAAUAAGCAUCGGCUAACUCCGUGCCAGCAGCCGC